rnacentral:lncRNA from 1 species
AGUGACACAGCUCCUCUAACGCGGCCACACCUCCCAGGGCUUCCAAAACCUUCCACUAACUGGAGACCAACAUCCAAACAUAUGCACCUACAGGAACCGUUCCCAUUGAAAGCACCACACCAUCUCCAUUCGACCGUGUUUUGCAAGGUGACUCUCUGUAAGCUUACCUGCAUUUUCAGGGCCAUGUCAGAGUUUUGUGAAAUAAGUUGAGAACUUGAGAAAGUAGGAGCAACUCCAACAGUGACUGUAAAGGUGGAAUUAAUUAGAAAGAUCAAAGUCAAUCUGCUGGCAUGGCUAGCCACUGUGACCUGAACGGACCAUUUACCUUGGCUGGACUCUGAAUUCCUCACUUGCUGAAUAAGAAAUGAUGCCUGCCUACUAAAGACGAACUAGGAUUCUCGGAAAAGACUUGGCAGACUUCUUUUGACUUAAGCCGGGUUUGGUCUACUGGAACCUUAUGUGCAUCGGUUAGCUUUCGGCUUCCUCACCUCUGAUCCAUCUUAAGAGAGUGUCGAAUUCAAAAAGUCACCCCUUUGGACAAGCAAAGUCUUGGCUGUAUUGGAAGUCCUCCGUGUCUCAGAGUGGCCAUUUAACCAACGUAACUCUACACAGCAACCCCAAGCAUGACUUCGAAGUCUGAAUGAGGAGGACGAUAGCCACACCAACACCACGGAGUCAUUAGCCCAGCUGCGGCUUUGAUCUGCUGGCUCGUUACUGUGGACCACAGAUGUUGCCUGCCAUUGUCCCACCCUGCAGAGAG